rnacentral:misc_RNA from 1 species
GGAUGAAGAACGCAGCGAAAUGCGAUAAGUAGUGUGAAUUGCAGAAUUCCGUGAAUCAUCGAAUCUUUGAACGCACAUUGCGCCUCCUGGUAAUCCGUGAGGCAUGCCUGUUCGAGCGUCACUAUAAAGCAACUCAACUGCGCCGGUGGUUGGUCAUGGAGGAAGAGCAAAUCUCAUCGUGUGUCUCCCCUCCCAAAAUCAACGGCGGAAUGUCACUGGCACUCGGUGUAGUAGUAUUAUUCGCCGAUCACCCAGUGCUGUUCCUGCCACCCAAACCCCCACUAUUCUCUUGAUUGACCUCGGAUCAGGUAGGGAUACCCGCUGAACUUAAGCAUAUCAAUAAGCGGAGGA